rnacentral:sRNA from 2 species
AUUAGAGUUUUCUAGGGUUCCGCAGUACUGCUGGCAGGUCCGAGAGAAAACCCACAGUUUACUGUGUACACGGAAGGAUAAAAGCCUGGGAGAU